rnacentral:rRNA from 1 species
ACGAACGCUUGCGGCGUUCUUAACUCAUGCCAGUCGAACGGAAAGGCCCUGCUUUUUUGGGUUGCCCGGUUGGCGAACGGGUGAGUAACACGUGAGUAACCUGCCCUUUACUUUGGGGUAACUUCAGGAAACCGGGGCUAAUACCGGAGAGGAGCUCCUUCUGCAUGGUGGGGGUUGGAAAGUUUCGGCGGUUGGGGAUGGACUCGCGGCUUAUCGGCUUGUUUGUGGGGUAUGGGCUUACCAAGGCUUUGACGGGUAGCCGGCCUGAGAGGGUGACCGCGCACCAGGGGCCUGCGAUACGGAGCAGAAUGCAACGGGAGGCAGCAGUGGGGAAUCUUGCACAAUGGGCGGACGUCUGAUGCAGCAACGCCGCGUGCGUGAUGGCGGCUUUCGGGUUGUAAACCGAUUUCGCCUGUGACGAAGCGUGAGUGACGGUAAUGGGUAAAGAAGCACCGGCUAACUACGUG